rfam:Oryza sativa (indica cultivar-group) chromosome 11, whole genome shotgun sequence.
UUUAAAUGUAGUUGUGGGUUUAUUUGUCCAAUGUUUGACCGUUCAUCUUAUUUGAAUUUUUUUUAUGAUUAGUAUAUUUAUUGUUAUUAGAUGAUAAAAUAUGAAUAGUAUUUUAUACAUGACUUAUUUUUUUAAGAAAAAAUAAAUAAGACGGUCGGUAAAACGUUAUAUAAAAAAAUCCACAACUGCACUUAGA